AUUGAACGCUGGCGGCAGGCCUAACACAUGCAAGUCGAACGGUAACAGGAAGCAGCUUGCUGCUUUGCUGACGAGUGGCGGACGGGUGAGUAAUGUCUGGGAAACUGCCCGAUGGAGGGGGAUAACUACUGGAAACGGUAGCUAAUACCGCAUAACGUCGCAAGACCAAAGAGGGGGACCUUAGGGCCUCUUGCCAUCGGAUGUGCCCAGAUGGGAAUAGAUAGUAGGUGGGGUAACCGCUCACCUAGGCGACGAUCCCUAGCUGGUCUGAGAGGAUGACCAGCCACACUGGAACGGAGACACGGUCCAGACUCCUACGGGAGGCAGCAGUGGGGAAUAUUGCACAAUGGGCGCAAGCCUGAUGCAGCCAUGCCGCGUGUAUGAAGAAGGCCUUCGGGUUGUAAAGUACUUUCAGCGGGGAGGAAGGGAGUAAAGUUAAUACCUUUGCUCAUUGACGUUACCCGCAGAAGAAGCACCGGCUAACUCCGUG
rnacentral:rRNA from 1 species